rnacentral:rRNA from 1 species
AUCGAACGCUGGCGGCAUGCCUUACACAUGCAAGUCGAACGGCAGCACGGGGCAACCUGGUGGCGAGUGGCGAACGGGUGAGUAAUGCAUCGGAACGUACCUUUCAGUGGGGGAUAACGUAGCGAAAGUUACGCUAAUACCGCAUAUUCUGUGAGCAGGAAAGCAGGGGAUCGCAAGACCUUGCGCUGAUUGAGCGGCCGAUGUCAGAUUAGCUAGUUGGUGAGGUAAAGGCUCACCAAGGCGACGAUCUGUAGCGGGUCUGAGAGGAUGAUCCGCCACACUGGAACUGAGAACCGGUCCAGACUACUACGGGAGGCAGCAGUGGGGAAUUUUGGACAAUGGGGGCAACCCUGAUCCAGCCAUGCCGCGUGAGUGAAGAAGGCCUUCGGGUUGUAAAGCUCUUUCGGCCGGGAAGAAAUCGCACGGGCUAAUACCCUGUGUGGAUGACGGUACCGGAAUAAGAAGCACCGGCUAACUACGUGCCAGCCGCCGCCGUAAUAC